UACGGGGGGGGCAAGCGUUGUUCGGAAUUACUGGGCGUAAAGGGCUCGUAGGUGGCCAACUAAGUCAGACGUGAAAUCCCUCGGCUUAACCGGGGAACUGCGUCUGAUACUGGAUGGCUUGAGUUCGGGAGAGGGAUGCGGAAUUCCAGGUGUAGCGGUGAAAUGCGUAGAUAUCUGGAGGAGCACCGGUGGCGAAGGCGGCAUCCUGGACCGACACUGACACUGAGGAGCGAAAGCUAGGGGAGCAAACGGG
rnacentral:rRNA from 1 species